rnacentral:lncRNA from 1 species
UGCCCCAAAUCAAAACUGCACAUCCACAGAGGGGAGAUCGCCAAGAUAAUCCGAGAGUGUCAAGAAGAGAGUUUCUGGAAGAGAGCCCUGCCUUUUUCUCUAAUAAGCAUGCUUGUCACCCAGGGACUGGUCCACCAAGGCUAUUUAGCUGCUAAUCCAAGAUUUGGAUCAUUGCCUAAAGUUGCACUGGCUGGCCUCUUGGGAUUUGGCCUUGGGAAAGCUUCCUACAUAAGAGUGUGCCAGAGUAAAUUCCAUUCCUUUGAAGAUCAGCUCCGUGGUGCUGGCUUUGGACCCGAGCAUAACAGGGUCACCCAGACGCUUCAGACUUCACAGUCAUGUUUUAAGGUAGCUCACAACUAGCACCCAGGACCGUCCAUCCCUCUGCACUGGACAUGAAGCCGACUUAGUUUUUACUCUAUUUAAAGUUGUAAACAACCUUGAACCUUCAGGUUCUGCUUUUCCUUUAUCUGAUGGCUUUGUAAAUGACAAAAUAAGCAAAAACCCCAAAAUAUCUUUAUCAGCACCAGCUCACUUUUGAAAUAUAUACUUGAGAAUUAACUAUGGUUCUUGGUAUAAGAAAGUCAAAACAAACAAAUGUACUAUGAGCUUCAGGAAAAUCAAAUAGACAUUUUCUGCUAAGCUUAUUUUCCUAAUAAGCAAUAAAAGAGAAAAGUGGCUAUUAAUUGAGCUAGACUGGCAAAAUCUGGUAACUUGAAAGAAGUCCAAAAUGCAAUAAACCAAAAGUGCUUGCC